rnacentral:rRNA from 1 species
UGGGGAAUAUUGGGCAAUGGGCGAAAGCCUGACCCAGCAACGCCGCGUGAGUGAUGAAGGCCUUCGGGUUGUAAAACUCUUUGGACAGGGACGAAGAAAGUGACGGUACCUGUAGAACAAGCCACGGCUAACUACGUGCCAGCAGCCGCGGUAAUACGUAGGUGGCGAGCGUUAUCCGGAUUUAUUGGGUUUAAAGGGAGCGUAGGCUGUUUGUUAAGCGUGUUGUGAAAUGUAGGAGCUCAACUUUUAGAUUGCAGCGCGAACUGGCAGACUUGAGUGCGCACAACGUAGGCGGAAUUCAUGGUGUAGCGGUGAAAUGCUUAGAUAUCAUGACGAACUCCGAUUGCGAAGGCAGCUUACGGGAGCGCAACUGACGCUAAAGCUCGAAGGUGCGGGUAUCGAACAGG